rnacentral:rRNA from 1 species
AUUGAACGCUGGCGGCAGGCCUAACACAUGCAAGUCGAGCGAACCUAGCUUGCUAGGUGAGCGGCGAACGGGUGAGUAACACGUAGGAAUCUGCCCGAUAGUGGGGGACAACGUCUCGAAAGGGACGCUAAUACCGCAUACGCCCUACGGGGGAAAGCAGGGGAUCUUCGGACCUUGCGCUAUCGGAUGAGCCUGCGUCGGAUUAGCUAGUUGGUGGGGUAAAGGCCUACCAAGGCGACGAUCCGUAGCUGGUCUGAGAGGAUGAUCAGCCACACCGGAACUGAGACACGGUCCGGACUCCUACGGGAGGCAGCAGUGGGGAAUAUUGGACAAUGGGGGCAACCCUGAUCCAGCCAUGCCGCGUGUGUGAAGAAGGCCUUCGGGUUGUAAAGCACUUUAAGCUGGGAGGAAGGUUCGCUGGCUAAUAUCCAGCGGAAUUGACGUUACCAGCAGAAUAAGCACCGGCUAACUCCGUGCCAGCAGCCGCCGUAA